UUCUGGUCCUCCUUUAUCCGCCAUUACCUUCCGAACUUGCAAGUCAGACAGAAAUGGCACCAUACAUUCCCUAAUAUAACCACAGGCACGAUAGUCAUGAUAAUGGAUCCCCAACAGCCCAGAGCACAUUGGCCUAUUGGGAAAGUAGUCCAGGUGCACCCCAGUCAAGACUCGCAAGUGAGACCAGUGGAUGUUCAAGUUCAAGGGAAGGUUUAUACUAGACCCGUAGCUCGACUUGUGGCCCUACCCCCCAUCCCAGAAGAUGAUACAGAGGAGCCCAAUACACCCAACGCAGCAUCAGUAACACACACGCAACCUUCUCAAGUGUCAAAUUGAUCACAAUUCGGGGGCGGCUGUACAAACGGCUUGCAUGCGUGGCCCCUUUAAGACUUGUUGCCCUUUUAAGAGUUGUUGCCCUUUUAAGACUUGUCACCAUUUUAAGAUUGCGCAGCAAAGUUUGAGAGAAGAGAUGCGAGCCGAUCCAAAUCCAGGUGUUAAUAUGUGUGCGUGCAUCCUGUAAAACCACACCUAUUACAUGCUCCAUAGCACAGUAAAGUCAUCAAAGAAA